UACAAUAACUUCAAGUAAAUCAAGUUUUCAGGGUCUCAUGCAGCAGUCUCUUAAAAAUGUUAUGAAAGGCAUAAAAGUUACAUUUUGGUCAUAUAAUGUUAAUUUGCAGUUGUCGUCAUGUAGUUUCUCAGUGUUAUUUUGACUGCGGCAACUCUCUGAUGUACAAGGGAUUAUGGGAUAUCU